rnacentral:rRNA from 1 species
CAGUCGCCGCGGUAAUACGAAGGGGGCUAGCGUUGCUCGGAGUCACUGGGCGUAAAGGGUGCGUAGGCGGGUCUUUAAGUUAGGGGUGAAAUCCUGGAGCUCAACUCCAGAACUGCCUUUGAUACUGAAGAUCUUGAGUUCGGGAGAGGUGAGUGGAACUGCGAGUGUAGAGGUGAAAUUCGUAGAUAUUCGCAAGAACACCAGUGGCGAAGGCGGCUUACUGGCUCGAAACUGACGCUGAUGCGCGAAAGCGUGGGGAGCAAACAGGAUUAGAUACCCCGGUAGUCCCUGUCUCUUAUAC